rnacentral:lncRNA from 1 species
AUCACCUCCUGCUGUUCCAGCAGCGCCACCUCCAGCAUCACCACCACCACCACCACCAACUCCUUCCCUAGCCAAUUCUCCUUCGUCGCCUCCACCUCCUUCUCCUCCACCCCCUUCUCCCAAUGCUCCUCCACCGACUCCUCCGCCAUCUCCACCCAUUGCUCCAGUUCCGCCUCCCUCCAAUCCCUCACCUCCGCCAUUAACACCACCACCAACUUCACCUCCACCGCCACCACCACCGACCAAUCCGCCCAGGAGUCCGCCUCCCCCACCACCUACAGAACCACCAGUGACUUCACCUCCUCCACCAUCUUCAAACCCCCCUAAAAGUUCACCACCACCAUCAGAACCACCAAAAACCUCACCCCCACCACCAUCUAAACCACCCCCUGUUUCACCACCAUCACCAUCACCAUCAAGUCCACCUGAGGAUUCACCUCCACCACCUGUACCUGUGCCACCCAGUAAUUCAACCCCUCCCGCCCCGUCUCCAUCUGGUUCUCAACCAGCAACUCCACCCUCUCCAAAUUCUCCUCCAAAAGGAUCGCCACCACCACCCAGGACACCAACUCCACCUCCUCCUGCACGUUCCCCACCACCUCUUUCUCCCCCUUCAUCUCCUCAAACUCCAAACUCGCCAUCAGAUAGCCCAUCUGUGAACAAUUCUACCCCCAAUGGAAGUCCAAAUUCUACAAGUAAAGGAGGCAUUGGUACUGUAGGUACAGUGGCUAUUGGAUUGGUACUGGGUUUAGUAGUACUUGUUCUCAUUGGAGUGGCUUUCUUGUGCCUGCGGAAGCGGAAGAAAAAGGUAUCUGGACUUAAUGGUGGCUAUGUUAUGCCAGCCACACUGGGUUCUUCUCCGAGAUCAGGUAACACAAUUACAUUGUACCAUUAUCACAUUAUUCUUUUCCCAUUUUUUAUUUUCUUUCUAUUUGAAUGGGUACCUUCUAAAAUUAAUAUUCUUUUGGAUUACCAACAUUCUAAACAUGUAAUUUGAGCUACUGUCUUCUGGGGUUAUUUUACAGGCUAGGCUCAUGGUUAGGUAUUACCACUAAGUUAGUGAUGAUGUAUGAGAGUGAACUGUAAUUGCAGUGUCAUGAUUUAUUUUCCUUUUAAAGUUUGUUUUACAUACAUCAUGGAAUGUGAUAGGCGAUGGAAAGAUAAUUAGGAUUCAAUUUAAACAUUUGUUGUCAAAAAAAUAGAGUAGGCUAGACUUCAUUGGGUAAUUUGAAACACUUCAGCCAGAUCUUGAUUUCUUGAGCAUGUUUACUGAUAAUUUGCAAACAUAUGUUUGUAAAAUUGACACUACUGAAAUAAAAUUAAGAGGGUUUAUUGUCUCCAGAUUCAUCUUUUACAAAGACACUGUCUUCAGCUCCCCUCAUAGGAAGUGGUUCGGGUAGCGACUUUGUAUACUCACCAUCUGAGCCAGGAGGAUUAGGCAAUUCAAGAUCAUGGUUUACAUAUGAAGAACUAGUCAAGGCAACAAAUGGAUUUUCAACUCAAAAUCUUCUGGGCGAAGGUGGAUUUGGUUCUGUAUAUAAAGGAUACCUGCCAGACGGGAGAGAGAUAGCAGUAAAGCAGCUAAAGAUUGGUGGGGCCCAGGGAGAGCGAGAAUUUAAAGCUGAAGUUGAGAUUAUUAGUCGGAUACACCAUCGCCAUUUGGUCUCACUUGUGGGUUACUGCAUUUCUGAGAGCCAAAGGCUGCUCGUCUAUGACUAUGUUCCUAACAAUACCCUUUAUUUCCAUCUUCAUGGUAAGGCUGUAGUGAUAAGCUUCCAAGAAUAGUUUGUGGUAAUGGAUAACUGAUUAUGUGUUGCUCCUUGUAAUUUGUAGGGGAAGGUAGGCCAGUUAUGGACUGGGCAACACGUGUUAAGGUUGCUGCUGGUGCAGCUCGUGGAAUAGCUUAUCUUCAUGAAGACUGUAAGUAUCUAUACUUGUCUCUUCAUUUUGAUAACAAAGUAUUAUCCAUCUUUGUGUAGGGUACUACCAACCUUUUUAAAAAAAGCAAUGUUCACCUUUUCUUCUUAUUCUGUUAGUGACAUGUGUCAGUGUCCAGAGCUCAGACAAAUUUCAGUCUCAGAUAGAUUCUGUUAUGGUGCUGGUUGGACCAUGCAUUACCAGUCACUUACACAUCAUAAGAAAAACUUUGUGUUGAUCAUGAAGGACUAGCAUUUACACCUCCAGUUAGUUAAGUCUCAACACCUGGUUGGGGAGCAGACAGCCUCCCUCCUUUUAACCGAUUUCUAAAUAUACAAAAAGUACAAUCACUUCUAUUGAUUUUUGUCAAACAAAAAGCGGGUGUUAUGUCUUCUGUUUCCCUGUUGUCAUUUAUCAAUGUUGUGGAAUUACAUGUGUUGGUAAAAUUUUUAAUAUUCAACAAUCACUGUAUAUUUCUGAAAAAACUUUUGCAGCAAAACAUACUACUAAGAUAAAGAAUAAGCUUUGAUUGACAAUAAUAAAACAAUUUCAUGAUAACUAUUGAACAAAUAACAUCACAUUGUUGAAAACCCUAAUAGCCAUGUAACAAAAGCCAUGCAACAUUUUCUCAGAGGCUGCUUAAGUUUCUGACACAGAAACUACUAGAUUGACUGUUCUUGUUGGCCAAGUUCCUUUUCAUACCAAUGUCUGCAUAGUAACUUUUGUCCUCUUUUAUCUUAUUUCAGGCCAUCCUCGGGUUAUUCACAGGGAUAUUAAGUCUUCAAAUAUUCUUUUAAAUUAUAACUUUGAAGCUCAGGUAUGCCCAAUUUUUUACAAACUAUAUCAUCUGCAUUUGUCAUUUCCUGUUAUUAUUGUUCUAAAAGUGUAUACUUUUCUCUUUGCAGGUUUCAGAUUUUGGACUUGCUAAAUUAGCUCUAGAUGCUGAUACUCACGUAACAACACGUGUAAUGGGGACUUUUGGGUACGCAACCCCUCUAUGAUGCUUUCUUUUUUUUUUUUUCUCUUUCUUUCUUUCUUUCUUUCUUUCUUUCUUUCUGUUCUUGUUUGAUAGGAGCAAGUGAACACCCAUGUGUGUUUAGUCCAAAUACCCACUAAGGGGUUACACAGAAAUCCUUCAGAGGGCACUUACUAUUUAGGGAUGAAUUGUCCAGAAUGACUAAGAUUUGUUUUACAUGCCAUAUCCAUGUUCAAAGAUUCCAAUUGAUUGAAUUUCAGAUAUAUGGCUCCCGAGUAUGCAUCAAGUGGCAAGUUAACUGAGAAAUCUGAUGUCUUCUCUUUUGGAGUUGUCCUUCUGGAGCUUAUUACUGGACGGAAACCUGUGGAUGCAUCUCAACCCGUGGGUGAUGAGAGUCUAGUUGAAUGGGUAAGUUAUAUUGUUGAUGACCCUGAUUUAAGUUCUCUUUUGUUACAAAUUUCUAAAAUGCUAAUUUCUUUUCAGACUUGCAUGAACUAGUAGUACAUCUAACUAAUGGGUGGUUUACACAAAAACUUACUAGUGGCUAAGAAACAAGGAUAGAGACACGAGACGUGUAUAGGAAUAUGGAUAACAUUGAUGUGCCAAAUUAUAAAGAUUUGGAUAAUGUGGAAACAAGGUGAAUAAUGACAUAGUUUUUUAUUUAUUACAUGUUAGAAACAAUGAUUUUUGUUGAUUUAUUAGAAAGUAUGACAUUCCUACUUAUGACAAUCAAUAAUAAACAUUUGCAAAAUCAUAAUUCAUUAAUCAACAAAGAAGGUAAGAUAUGAAUAAAAAAUACCCAGAAAUCAUGGAGAAUACUGACAAUAAUAUAAAUCAUAAUAAAUUUUUAGAUUUGCAAAUGAUUUGUUCUUUUUGUUAUUGGUUUUCUUUUUAAUUGAAAGAUACAUAACAUGCAGAUCCAAUGCAGUAUUGCCAAAUAUAAAAAAAUUUGUAGGCUUGAAAAUUUUAGUAUAUGACUUUUUGCUUUGUUCUACUCCUUCAAUGAACGUUUUUAUUUUUUUUAUUUUUUUUUAUUUUAUCAUUUCCUAUAAAUAUAUAAAUAAAUAAUGUGAUUAUGAGCCAUAAUGAACUACAAGGAUGGAGUCACUGGAAAGAAGUAGGUAUAUGCACUUAACAACAAUAACAAUUUAUCUUUCAGGCUCGACCUUUGCUUAGUCAUGCCCUUGAGAAUGAGGAGUUCGAAGGUUUGACAGAUCCAAGGCUUGAGAAAAACUAUGUAGAAAGUGAAAUGUUUCGUAUGCUAGAGGCUGCUGCAGCUUGUGUCCGUCAUUCAGCUGCAAAGAGACCACGAAUGGGACAGGUAAUCAAGUUCUUACACUGUUGAGGUGAACCUUUUUGCUCGAUACUUCCAUGAUAACAUUAGUAUAUCUAGGUGGUGAGUGUUUCCUUUUCCAUGCUUCACAGGUUGUUAGAGCUUUUGAUAGUAUGGGUACCUCGGAUCUGUCCAAUGGAAUGAGGGUGGGUGAAAGUGAAGUAUUUAAUUCUGCACAACAAUCUGAAGAAAUUAGAUGGUUUCAGAGGAUGGCAUUUGGUAGUCAAGACUACAGUACAGACUUUUUUAGCCAAGGUGGCUAGAAUAGUUAAGUAACAUGGCAAAUAUUGGGAGAGAUGAAUGCAUAUUGAACCAGGAAGUUCUGCAGAGGCAAGCCAGGGUCCUGUUGAUGUUGAUGUGAACGUGGAGCGAUGACUUAGGUAGUGGUACAAAUUUGGCUCAGAUCCAGAACCUGACCGAGCAGGUAUAGAGACCAGAAUUUACACCCUCAGCUCAGCUUAGAUCCUGUAAAUGGUUUCAUUCAUCUUCUAUAAUCUAUACAUUCUUUCUUUUUGUAAGUAACACGGCCAGUUUUUUGUUUCCACCGAAAUCUGGGUGUUGUUAAUAAAAUGCCAAUUUUCCGGUGCCAUUAAUAAAAUGCCAAUUCAAUUUUGUUCUCGUGCAAUUCUUAUUAUUCUUCUUCUUCAAAUACCUAAAAUAUUCAUCUGCUCUGUUCUGCACCCAGGACUCUGCUUCCUCCUCAAGGAGAAGGAAUAAUGUAAAAUGCAGCCGGUAACCCAUUCCUAUUCUAGGAGUAGAUCUCUGUUUUCUACCAAGGACUCUGUCUUCUUCUUCUUCAAAUACCUCAAGUGCUCAUCUGCCCUCUGUUCUGUUCCAAGACUCUUGCUUUCUCUAAAGGAGAAGUAAUAAUGCAGAUAUCAGGACAGGCAGUUCCAUUCCAAUUCUAGGACUACAUCCAAGAAAGAUCGCUUGUACUUUUGACCAUGACCAGGACAUAUGGAACAUUUAAUUCGAGAAAUUAUCCAAACUUAGAAACAAAAAAAUGCACAUAGAAGAUUAGAGGAUGAAUUAGGCAGAACUGGAUGGUUGUGUUGUUUCUAUGCUUCUGACAGAUAAGAAACAGCCUGUAAAUGUCUUUAGUAAAAUGUAGCAUGAUCAAUAAUUUAAGGGGAAAAUGGUUAAGAGUUGAAUAUUUUCAUUUCAUGUUACGCAGAUUCCUUAGAAGCAUUACAAUAUAGCUAUUAUGCAAUUCAUUAGUAGUAUAACUUGCAAACACUACUACAAAAACUUCCAUUUUCAGCAACCCAGAUUCCUCGGUAGCGUUGACUUGCAGAAGGGAUAUGGGUUAUGAUCACAAGAUUUCUUAGAUUAAAUAUCUUGAGGGACAAGUAAUCUGCAUACCAGGAAGAUUUAGAUUAAGGUAUUGAAAUUGACAGAAGGGUGAAGAUGUAAGGUAUCAGAAGAAGAAUUGUCACAGGUGUUCAUAAAUCACAAAUGAUCCUUCUUUGAAAGCCAAGUUCCAUAACAGCCCAAGAAAAGACUACCCAGCUUACCCAAGAAAUCCCCCAAUUCCCACUGAAUAGUAGAACGCAAGUUACCUUUCUAUGAUAGCUGAUGAUUUCUUGAAAUUGGGUGGUUUCUGGACAUCUCAUAACCGCAAUCAGAAGCUAAAGUUGCAUUGCAGUGAAGCCAACAAUCUGACGUCAUGACUCAUUACCACCUUGUGGCUUCGAGACAUUGUUCUUCUUGCUUCACCCUUCCUAACACCUCCCAAUAGGAAAAAGCACUUAAUCCUUCAAAAGAAAUGGUUUCUAUCAACCUUCUUCUUCGCUGCCAUCACCUCCCUCCCUUCUCCAAUCUUUCUUAGCCCAUGGAAGAUUGGAACAUGCUGGCGGCAGACUGUGUUGUCAUAUCUUGUUGCUGCCAAUGCUUAAUCCUACAAAUGGUCGUCUUCGUCUUGCUCAAACUGCCAUACAAGUUGUUUCGGAAGACUAAAGAGUAUGCCAAGAAGAAGCUUAUGCUGCAUGGAAGGAGACAAGACAGAGGCACAGAGAGAGAAAUGAAGCCAUAUGAAGAUGAGUUCAGAGAAAUACAGGGAGGGCUAAGAAUUCAAGUAGAAGGAGGAUUCCCAGAAGAUGGAAGCCAGGGUUGUGGGUGUUGUAUGGAGGAAGUUGAGAGGGUGUUGGAGGAGUAUUCCCAAAGGGGAGAGUUUGCCUUUGGAAGCUUUUGGGGUAGGGGGGAACCAGACAAAGAAGAAUUUGUAAGUAAUGUUGUGCUGUGUCAUUUAAUUGAAAUGAUUGGUUCUUUCAGCUAUGCCUAACAUAGCCAUUGUUGAUCUUCAUCCUGAUAACCACCUUGAUGCAUAAGGUUAAAUCUAAGGAUGUAUAUAUACUUUUAAUUUGGUUAUAGAUUAUAAGGGUAAUAAUUGGUGUUGAUCGGUCAUAUUCAUAUCGUGUCAAGCUUUAAGCUUUUUACUAAAUAAGUCGACCCAAACAUAAUAUCAUUUAUAAUCUACCUAAAAAUGUAAAUGUAAAUACUACUUAAUUAUUAAGCAAACAAUACUUUGCACAACUUAUUUAACUUAUUUAAUAAUUAGAUUCUCCUAUUUAAUAAUUAGAUCGAAUUAUAUUUUAUAUAAGUUUAUAAGAUUAUAUAAAUCUAUAGGAUUAAUCUUCCGAUAUGACAUGUUCAUAACUUAAUUAUCAUAUUUAUUCAAAAAUUUAAAAUGAGUCAAAUAUUCUAAAAUUAUAAUUAGGUUAAUUAAUGGAUUAUCAAAUAAGUCAAUUUGGAUCAAAUUCAUAUUUUGUAGGUUAACAAAAAAAUAACUUAUUUAUUAAAUGAGUUAUAAAACUCAACAUGAAUUUGAUCCAAAUAUAAUUAUACACUCAUGAGUCAUGAAAAGUGUACAAAAUCACAUCAAAUUUUACCAUUCCUAAUACCAUAAAUUUGUGAAUAAGUAUUUAUUCAGAAUGGCUUCAUUAUUUUUUUUCUAUACAUAAUUAUAUUUUUAUGAUUUUUUGUACUAUAAAAAUAAACUUCAAAUCAAGUUAUACUUUUUAUUAAAUUUAUUAAUAGGUUUAACAAUUUUUAAAAAUAAUUUAAAACUCAAAAAAUAGAUCUAAUCAUUAAAAAAAAUAAUAGAUUAAAACUAAUAUAUUAUGAGUCAUGAUUUUACUAUUACUCCUAUACAUACAAAUAUAUAUUUUGAAUUUAAGUAAAUAAAUAAUAAAUUAAGUAAAAUAUAAUUAAGAAUUUAAAUUCCUUAACUAAUUUUUUUUUAUUUUAACGAAUUCAAAAAUCUGAUCUAAUUAAUUGUAAGUUAAAUCAAAAUAUUUUAGAAUAUUUUGAUAGAAUAUUAUAUACAUAUACAAACUUGACUUAUUUACAUUUUUAAAAAGUUAAAAUUUUAUUCAUUAUUUAGUUUAAAUAAAAUAUUGUUAAAAAUUAUUAUUAUUCACUUUUAGUAUAAAAAAAAAAUUACAAUAUCCUUGUAUUUCUAACAUAUACUAAAAUAAUAUUUUUUAAUAAAAAAAUAUAAUUUAUGAUUUUAUUAUAAUAUUAUUAUUCAUGUUUUAUAAAAAAUAAUUUUAUUUAUUUAUUUGUAAUUAAAAAACUAUUUUCAUUUUUAAUAACACUUAAAUUAAAUUAAAUUUGUAUUAUAUAAAUUGAAUUUACAGUAUAUUUACAAAAUCAAAACAAGAAAAAAUUAAAAUAAUUUAUCCAAAUAAGUUAUUUAUUUUUGUUUUAAAAAUAACUUGUCAAACACCUUUAUUUUUAUAAAAUAAAAUAAAAAUUAUUUUUAACUUAAAAAAUAGUGUUUAAAAACAAGUUUCAAAAAAUACGAUCAAACACACCCUUAAUAAAAAACAAUAUAAAAAUCCGUAAGAUUGAACCUUUGGUGAACAUGGGUUUCAUUUCAUAUAAGUUAAUUAAUAUACAUGAAGCUAAUUUGGACAAAAGCCCACACAAGAAGAGGAAAAUGGUGCAUUUUUGGAUGGAUACCAUAAUCAAUGAUUUUGGAAAGUGCUCAGAAGCUGGAUUGACGUCUAAACGAAGUUUCGGCGAUAUUCACACAAAUUUCGGGUUUCCAUGCACGUGGAAAGAAAAUUAUGGUAUUAUUGUUGUCGAAUGGUACUUAUCAAAUUUUAAUAUCUUUAAGUAGAUUAGUUUUUUGGUACUAAAUAUAAUUUAAUGUGUUUGAAAAAAAUUAAAAUUUAAUAAAAUAAUUUUUUUUUAAUCUUUAUAUCAAUAUUUAAUAUGCACUUAUAUUUUAUUAUUGAUUAAAAAAUCUAAGCUCAUUUAAUCAUGUUUUCUAAAAUUUGUUUUUAAGAAUGUUUUUAAAAUUUUUUAUUUAAAAAUAAUUUUUAAAAAUAAGGAUAAAAAAACAUAACCAAACAUAUCCAUGUUUUCUUUUGUUUUAAAAAACUGGUAAAAAUAACUCAUAUUUUAUUCUCAAAUAAUUGUUUUUCUUUGUUUUUUAAAAUCAUUUCUAUUUAGAAAUUUUUUUUUAAAAAACAAUUUUUUAUUUUUAAAAAUAUAAUUUCUUUUUAAAUUAUACAACCAAACAGCCCCUAUAUAUCAUAUAUUACUAUUUAUGUAAAUAUUAUACAAAUUUCAUAUUAUGGUAUGAAUAUUAUUGACAUGAAAAUGAACAUUUUUCAUCCUCAAAAUUAUAAAAAUUACUUGCAUUUUUAUUUAAGUAUUAAAUGAACCAUUAAAAAUUAUUAUAUAUCUUAUUUUCUGAAAAAAAAAAUUAAAUUAGAGAUACAAAUAUUAUUAUUUUUUUGUUUAUUUCCUUAUAUUUUUAAUAGUUUUUAUAUUUGAAGAAUUGAUGUUCUGAAUUUCCUAUAUUUUCGUAAAGUCAAAGGAAAAGUGGUACAGAAUAAUCCAACUGUUCACGCUUUUGACCAGAUCACUAGAAGACUACAAGGGUGACGAUAAUACCUUUGCGUGGGGCUUGGAGUUUUUCGAGAAAAUUAAAACGGUAAAAGCUUAAGAAUCACUUGCUGAUGAAAACGCGUUUUCUGUUUUGAUUAUUCCAAUUUUGAAAGCAAGAAAAAGCCAAAGCAAGAAACCACAGCCACAAGUCCUUAACAACUCCACCAAAUCGACCCUCAUUCCGCCAUUCACAACCAAAACUCUCUCUCUCUCUCUCUCUCUCAUCUUCUUCGUCCUCUUCUUCUUUAUCUUUCUUCUACAUGGUUAUGGAUACACUGAAAUCUGAUCAGCUAACGCAGCUAAAAGACAUAUUCAAGCGCUUUGACAUGGACUCGGAUGGCAGCCUAACCCAACUAGAGCUUGCAGCUCUCUUAAGGUCUCUUGGGCUCAAGCCUACAGGCGACCAACUGCAAGUAUUGUUGACCAACAUGGACGCCAAUGGCAAUGGGUCCAUCGAGUUUGAUGAAUUAGUGGAGGCUAUUUUGCCAGACUUGAAUGAGCAGAUACUAGUCAACCAGGAGCAGCUCACAGAGGUUUUCAGAUCAUUUGAUCGAGAUGGCAACGGCUACAUAACUGCAUCUGAGCUUGCAGGGUCCAUGGCCAAGAUGGGGAGUCCCUUGUCAUAUCGAGAACUCUCUGAUAUGAUGAGAGAAGCCGACAUUAAUGGAGAUGGCGUCAUUAGCUUUAACGAGUUUGCAACCAUCAUGGCCAAGUCUGCUGCAGAUUUCCUUGGCCUUGCGGUGUUCUAGUUGAAGGGUUGUAGGUUAUGGAUGAAUUUGGCUUGACCUUGCCUUUGACUUUUUUUUUUCCCUUUUUUUCUUGAUUUUUGUGUGUAUCUUGGAGGGUAAAUGUCUUGGGGAGGAGGGCUUCAAUUUCCAUGAUUGAAGGGUUUUUUUCUUGAUUUUUGGGUGUAUCUUGGAGGGUAAAUAUCUGGCGGAGGAGGCCUUCAAUGUCCAUGAUUGAAGGAGGAGGAGGAGGAGGAGGAGAGGGUAGAGGAGAAGACCUAUUCAAUGAAUGUUAAAUGAAAAAUGUGACAUUUCAACUUCUCUUACUCAGAAAUUAAUUUGUGAACUCAUCUUCUAGUAUUUAUGAACUUAUUCAUCUAGUAGUUGGAUGUUGGGCAUUUCGAAUACAAUUCAUUGUUGGGUUGUUCAGAAUUAUUUUCUGUGCCUCCUGGUUUCCAUUCUAGAGGUGUUUUGCCUUUCAAUGUGUAGAAUGGAUAGAAAUUAACCUUACCUUUAUCAUGGAAGGCAUUCUCAUAUAACUUGUACUACAGAGGAAUUACAAUACCCUCAUGACCCCACUGGUUUAAUGCUAAAUCUGAUGUGUGGAUCCCCUAAUAAACCAUAUGGGCCUUUGGUUGUUAGAUUUCUCAAUCCAGUAACUCAAUCUUCAAUGAGGAAUCUCACUUGGUUUCUCAUCUCUCCUGGCAAUAAUGAAGUUUCACUCCAAACAAGUUUCAUCAUAUCAAGUUAGCAAUGCUCGUCUGACUUUGUAUCCUCUUUGACUUGGUCUUCCACUGACCUUGAGAUCAUCUUCAGGUCAAUUCUCAUAUUGAGAAGCAUCUAGCUUCAACGAAUUCUGGGCCAACCUUUUCUCCUAGGGGUAAAGAAGCAAGCUUGCUGUCAUUUUAUUUUGAUGGAAAAACAAAGCAGUUUUGUAGGUCACUUGUCCUAAAUUGGGUUUCAAUCGUCACAGCUGAAAAUCAAUUGGUGCCCAGUGAAGAUAAGUCAAACCUUGUAAAAAUAGGUCAAACCCUUUAAUACAUUUGAUGUCGCAUCCCACAGGUCUGUUCAAAGAGUCAUCUCUUACAGUUAGGUGACAUAUCCUCAGGCUUAAAAGUAGUAUUGUUGCACCCAAACAACUUGUAUGCAAAGCCACAAGGAUUGGACUCAGCAAAACCAGUGAGAGAAAGGAAAAAGGAGAAGACCACACAGAAUUCUCUUGAAUGAGUUUUGAAGUGUAGAACUCUUGGGAGAAAUUAUUAACUCAAAAAAGAAGCUAGAGGAAGAAGAGAGGAAACUUUAUUUGGAGCCUUUCUUGUAAAACCUAGAGAAAAUGAAUCUGUUCACUAUUGCAUUAUAGAAAUAUUACAAGAUAUAUGAUUACAAGAAUAAAUGUGUAUGGCCUGUGACGGCCAAAAAUCAAAAUUUACAGCUUUUGGGCCCUUUUUUUUCUUUUUUUCUAUCGAACAUAUGGUACAGGUUGGUUAUACUUCUGUACACUACCUCUUGCUGUAAUAAUCCCUUCGACAUGAUUUCUAGUUGAAUUGAGCUAAUAAAUGGCCACAUAAUUCAAAUUUCACCAUAUUCAAUGGGCAGAGUUCCUGGCUUCUCAGCAGAUAUCUACAGCUCAAAUCCUUUGAUAGCCUCCUCUAAGAGUUCAACUGCAAGUAUCUAUCUAUGACUAUCAUUCUUCUGUUUAUCUAUGAGUUCUAGCCACUCUACGUGCUGAUACACCAACAGUCUGUGGCCGCAAGGACCUCUGUCGCACCACGUUGCAGUAUUCUGGAUCAUCUGUUUGCCCCUCAUGCCUUAACCACUGUAUCAUUCCAUGGUACAUAGGAAAGAACCGCAUCUGUAUAGCUGUGUAAGCAUAGAAUGGUAUAAGGGUUGAGAUCACCACGAAGAGAGUGACAAUCCAAAAGGUGGGGGCUGGGGCAAGGGCUUCAAUAAAAAGUUUGUAAGCCGUGGAAGAAAUGGAGGGAGACAUGAUUCCAAAUACUAGGAGGAAAAGAUACCAGAGAGCAAUACUUCCCCAGAUGAAGAUAUGUUGUAUCAAGGUGAAGUAACUUAUAGUAAGGGCCAUCUGACAGUUCACAACCCAUACAACACAUGUAUACAUUGUUGUCCCAAGGAUCUCCCUCCCAACAGUUUUCCCCCCGCUAUUGAAGGCCUCGGAGUCCAGUGCCUUUAUGCAGAAGAAGAAGAUUAUGAUGGCACUGUAUACCCCAUUGAACAUCCAGCUGAGUAUUCGACGCCAGUUGAAAAGAACAUUCUGCACUCCUUCUUGGUACAGUAGAGGAAACUGCCAUGUGAAAUUAGAGAAAAAAAUGAGUGAUCAUCACAUAAGCCAUCACUUAAAACCAAAAAAUAUCAAACAAAUAAUGCUAUAGCAGACACAACCACAAGGAAUUCGAACAUAGUUCACAAUCACAAAGGCAUAACUCGUAUUUUUACUUUUUUUUUCAGCAUUUUAUUAAACUAGAUUAAGUGUAAUUCCAGCUAACUGGACUCGGCUAAAAGAACUCAUUUUGGUCAUUCUGCUCAUCAUGAGGAUUUUCCAGAUGCAUUUUUAUUAAGGUUCAGCUGCUUGAGUAUUUUAUUGUCAGCUUUUAGAAAUUUUGAUUUGAUAAACAAUAUAAUAACAUAUCAUUACAAUAUUAGUAAAGCAUUUCUCAUUUUUAUAAUGGUCUUGCUAUAAUUUCAUCAUCUAUUCCAUGUUUAGCGUCCGCACAACCAGUCCCAGGCCCUGAGAAAGGACAAUGGCUUGUAAAUAGGUAUACUUCUGAGGCAAAAUAUAUAUACCUAUAACAGCCAAAGAUCAGUGUAACAGGUAAUUUUUUUUCUGUCACCGUAACAUUACCCACAACAACCUUACUAGGAGCCAUUAGUUUUCUAGCAUUUUGUCUGUGUAACAUUAUAGUCUUAAUCAUAGUUGUUGACUCGUAAAACGCAUUGUGUAUCAUUUUUCUAUUUUCCUAUAUCAUGUAUUGUAUCAUAUCAUGUAUCGUAAGUUUUUCUAUAUAGUAAAAAAUAAAUAGAAAAAAUAAGUAUAUGUGCGUAUAUCUAUUGAAAGUAUGAAGUAUAGAGUAGUAUAUAACCAAAUUUUAUGGAAAAUAGUAGGAUCUAAAAAGUUAAACUCUAUCAUAUCAAAUAAAAACAUUGAAUGUUAAAGUUUUGACAAGUUCAAAUUAACAAAAUAUGACUUUAAUAUAUAAAUUCAUUACAUAAUCCACAAAAAUAAACUUCUUCAAUUCUUUUAACUAUGAUUAAAAAAAGCUAAUAUAUUAAGUAAAUUUUUUUAUUCACUAAUCAUCAUCACUUUCACUGUCAACAUUCAAAUCAUUCAAAUGAAAAUUCUUUAAUAUUCAUUAUAAAAAUAAACUUAACUUAUAAUAUAAUAUUUGACAACGAGAAAGUAACAUCUCAUAUGAGAUUAUUUUACCUAUUUCUCAUUUUUAUAAUCAAUUUUUAAUCUUUUAGUAUAUUUUAAACAAUUAAUAUAACAAAUUUUUUUAACCAAAGAAAAAUAAUUUGAUUUUUUUUAAAAAAAAAUUAUAGAAAAUAGUUAAAGAUGUUUGUAUCAUUGCAUCAUAAUCUCAUGUAUCAUAUUGUGUAUCACAUAUGUAUCAUAAGAUAUGCUUUAAAAUAAGAUACAAAUUAUGAUACAUAUCGAUUUCCAUAAAAAAUGUAUCGUAUCAUUGUAUUACAUCGUCUAUCAUAAUUUUUUAACAACUAUGGUCUUAAUGUCUCCUAACAUGCAUCGUCAUAAGGACUAGAAUCAAAAGCACAUGAUAGAUGAUCUGCAUACCUUGAGACAAAACCGUGCUGAGACAUCUUGGUCAAAAACACCCAAAGCAAUUGGUGGAAGUGAUGUGAAGAACACAUUAUAAAACGUCAUAAACCAAUCAUUGUAUGCAGGUUGCCCAGAGAAUGACGCAUGUGCCUCAUAUAAGAAGAGAGUAAAAGCAAAUGUGAUGUUCUUGUAGAAGAAGUAGCAUAUCUGCCAACAGAAGAAGGGUAAGUCAAUUGACCAUAAAACGAUGGUUUCUAACGUUAAUGAAAUUUCAAAGUUCUGCUUGUGCUUAGAUUUUGAACCACUUAAAAAUUUUGGGAUUUCAUUUUAGUUUCAAUCAGGAUUGAAAUUUUUGUAAGAAACUGUAUUGAAAACCUUGAUUUCUAUUGAAAUUUGAAAUAAUAUCAAAAUAUUUACCAUUAAUGAGAUCCUUCUAUAACACCAAUGUCCGUGGACUAGUAGCAAACGCUCCAAAUACUGGAACUGAGCAAUCGCAAUAUCACUUGACAUGACUGCCUGAAUUUGAAAGUAAGCAUAAAAAAAGAGUUCAAAAUAAGUGAGAAAAACCAGAACCAAAUAUGGAAAAUUUUGCAUCAUUCAAUUAUAAAUAUAAUCUGUUGAGCACCUGCAUCCCUUCAACACCACUGAUUCCAAUCCCAAUGUCGGCUUCUUGAAGCAUUCCCACAUCAUUGGCGCCAUCACCAAUUGCUAGUGUUGUCUUCCCAGUUCCAAGUUUAACCAGACGUGUAACCUGCAAUAUUUGUAACACUUGCUAAAACAAAUUUCCCUCGUGCAAUGCAGAUUAACAGAAAUUCAACAAAGGAAAAAAAAUGGAAUAAGCAUAAAAGACAGCACUGUUAUAAAGAAAAUGUCAGCUCACCAGCGCCUUCUGUUUUGGUGAUGAACGACAGCAAAUAACGGAAGCACACCCAAUUGCAAGCUCAAGGAACAAGUUUUUGACAUCAUCUUGUAGUGCAUAUGCCAGUGAUUUCCCAUCAAUGAUCAAAGCAUAUGCCUCAGAGCUUCCACUAGAUGCAGUAACCUGGGCUUUCCCUGCUGCUAUCUGGUGGACGACACUUUCUUUUGAUGCCUUAAAAGAUGAAUCAGAAACAUCCUGUCACUAUUACAUGUAUAAUUUUUCUAUUUUGGUUACGAUAUUACCAUCCACGACUUCAGUAAUCCAAAAGUAAAACGAUAUUACAGAUGUAUCCAUUAAAGCACAGAGUUUCCACCAAAUUACUGGCAUGCUGAACAUAAAUGCUUACUAAAAAUUCUCUUGAUGUUAUUCAAUUAUAGCAUAUGAGUAAAAUUUUGUAAUACUCGAGUUUUGCACAAAGAACAUGAAUAACCUAAAAAAGAAGGUCCUCCUCUGGUUUUUGGAAGCAGGUUUAUAAUACUUAUGUUUUUUCUAUCUUCAUCUUUGUUACUUUUUCCAUUUUCCUUAUAUCAGAUGUCCAGUUAAACUUGGAUUGAGUCUAGACAUCAAUAUUGAUGAUUUCAGUAAAGAACUCUAAACAGAGCCAUAUAUGUUUAAUGUUUAAUAUAAUUCAGUUGAUAGUGCUACCAUGUUAAUGGCACAAUGGAUGUCAAUUGCCAUAGUAAUAUUAUGAGAGGAAAUACACAAUGGCCUUCAGGCUUUGUUAGAGUAACAGAAAAACAGGAUAUGUGUCUUAUAUAGGGUAAUAUGCCCUCCUUGUAUGCUAGGAACUGUAUUGAUACAAACAAGUCAAGGAAUACAUAAUCAUAUGGUAAGAAGGAAAUACUUUCAAGCCAUCCUCACUUCAUUCUAAAUGUGACAGCAUUAAACUCUUGCAAUUUUAGAAAGAAAAUUUUUCUAUUGACUUGGUUACGCAAACGAUUAAUUCCAUCAUUAACAAAUAAAUCUGAUAAUAAAUGUAUGAAAAUUAAAUAUAAUUUUACCUUUAUGAUAACAGCCUUGUCUCCCACUUUUUCCAAAGCUUUAAUGUCAGGUGUCUCCAAACUGAUUAUUAUCUGCUUCAUUCCUUGUCGAAGCAAACUACAAGCAAAACUGCAAAUUUGACUUUGAAGUUAGAAGUGUUUAUAGGAGUAGGCCACAUUUUAGAUGAAUUAAUGAGAAAAAUUAUGAUUAUACCCAAUAUUGAUGGCAGUCUCCAUCUUAUCUCCUGUCAAAACCCAUAUCUUUAUCCCUGCCUGGGCAAGCUUAUCAAUGCAGUCAGGAACCUGCAACAGAAGAAAAGUCAUUUCCAAGCGGGUUCAACUAUUUAAUCAACAUUUUUCCUUAAUGUUUUUCAUACUGACCCCAUGUUGAAGUUUGUCCUCAACAGCAGUUGCGCCUAGGAGAAUCAAAUUCUUCUCCAUUUUCUCUGUCACUUCAUCAAUCAAUGCUUCUCUGUCUGCAUUAACCGAGCUCUUGGCCUCAUUGAAUUUCUUAUUGAACUCUUUAUAUUCUUCCUCAUCAAGUUCACGAUAAGCGAGUAUUAAAGUCCUCAAGCCUGCAUCAGCAUACUCAUUUACAUGGUUUCUUGUGUCCUCUUCAAACUGCCGACCAUUCUUGUCAAGCCUCUCAAACAUGACACUGCAUGGAAGAAAGUGUUACAAUGGUUCUAAAGAGUUGUCGUAUUGCAAGGUUUCAGGAUAUUUGAAAUCACAGCACAUACCUAUCAGCACCUUUACAAAGUAAUAAUAAUUUCCCCUCCUCAUUUCUCACAAUCACGGACAUCCGCUUCCUUGUGCUGUUAAACUCCAAAACAUUCAGGAGAUCGUACACCCUGCAAAAAGGAACGCAUUUAUUGAGCAUACAACAUAUCGCAUCUAAGGCUGGAAGUGAAAUAGUGCAUAAAUAAAAUGAGUUCUUUUAUAAAAAAUAAUAAUUAUCGGCUAUGCACAAUAGAAGACACUGACCUUUCAACUUUCUUGCCAGACACAGGAUCCAACUCAUGGAGUGAGAUGCUUGUUUGUGUCCUUUUGUAGAACUCAAAACCAAGUUCUCUUGCUGCAAUCACAAAAGCUGCCUCAUCUGGUGACUCGGCUUCAUAUGAAACCUGCCCGGUUACUUCAUUCACUUCAGGUAUAGCAGUAUGACAGAUUGCCAACAAACGAAGAAAGCCCUGGAUGACGUCUGCAUUGUGCUCAUUAACCCAAUUUCCAUGAAUGAUUCGUUCGUCUUUAAAAUUGUAGCCUUUAAUGAGUGGUUUUCCAAUUUGAGCAUCUUCAUCCUCAUCCCAACCAUUCAAUUCAUGAGCCAAUGGUGAACCUUUUCUUUUUGCCAUAGCCCUCUCCACCUCUGUAACACCACGGCCAUAAGCUGUUCCAGCCACAGAACACUUGAUGAACUCCAUUGAGUUGCAUGUCAAAGUCCCUGUCUUAUCAGAAAGUAUUGUGUCGACUUGGCCAAGUUCCUCGUUCAAAUUUGAUGUACGGGCAUGUGCUGGUUUAUCAGUCUCCUUGUCGUACAUAUGAACAUCUUGAUUGAUGAAGAUGCUUUGCAGAACCUUGACAAUUUCAAUUGAAACAUACAAUGAAAUUGGGAUCAUGUAUGCAUACAACAUCACAGCUGUCAGGAAGUGAAGAAUUGCUGCAACCGGUGCUCUUUUGGGGUCAAAGUAAAUAGUGGUAUCGUCUGGUCUAAGAUACCACCUUGUCAUCCUCCCAUUCUUAAGGUCGUCCUUAGUAAUAAUUCCAAAGAUAAUGGAUCCAACAAAAGAUAUCAGAAAUAAGACGAAAAACAAGAAGUAGAUAAGUUUAUCCAUCUUCUUCUCAACUCUGCUUCUCUUUGAGGGAGCAUCAGUUGAAUUUUGAAUGACCUUUGUAUCAUGACCAGUGAAGAUGACAGCCCCAUAUAUGUAAUCAGUAUUCCGGAGUUUUGAGUCUCUAAGGAGAAGUUGUUGUGGAUUAAGGGGACAAUGUUGCUCUUCCAACUCCAUAGUUCCAACAAAUGUAUACAAAUUGGCAUUCGGGUCUUCACAUUUAAUGACAGCCUUAAAAUUCUGGAAGUUAGAAUCUUCAUUUAAGGAUGAAGUUGCCUCCAAAGCUUGUUUCAUUUUCAAAUUCGUCUCCCCAUCGAGGCUCAUGGUUUCAACAUAGCAGAUUGCAUCGUCAUAACUGGAUGAGAGCAAGAGGAUAUCUGCUGGAAAAAAUUGAUCCUUCUCCACCUUCACUACAUCUCCAACCCUAAGAUUUCUCCAUUCAGUAUCAUGAAAAGUUCCAUCACCAACAUGCACUUUAACUUUCCUAUUGUUCACCUCAAUAUCCUGAAGAAGGUACCAUAUACCAAAUUAGGAGUUUGGCACUGAACCAACCUUGAUAAACGAACAAAGAAAAUAUGAACUAUCAACAUAAUUGAACUGCUGCACAGCCUUAAACAAGCAAUUCUAGAAAAUAAUCUAGUGAUUCUGGAUAAAAUAGGAAAUAUAUUUACAAGGUCAAAUUAGCAGAAUCCACCAUAGCUUUACUAUGGAAUGAAACCAUGGUGGCAGGUAUGUUAUCAAGGGGUCGGAAGGAUUGUUGCAAUUCUUUCCCACAAAAAACCUACUCAAAAUUGCUCAUGAGAAACCCAACAUAACUUCACCAUCAUCAUUUGGGGCUGCUAAUUUCUUAGAUAAUUCCCCCAUAACCAAAAAAAAAUCAGAGAACUCCCUCAACUAAUUUGGGCAAGAAUCCUUGAUCAUUUGGGAUGUUUUAUACAAUCCAUGUUCUAAUUUAGACACAAAAAAAAAAAAACAAACAAACAAGCUUACGACCUAGUAAUCAAGUUGAUCAAACCAGUAUGUAUAAAAAAGAGGGGUACCUGUUGUUUUCGCUGCCAAUCCUCUACACCCUCUUUCACCAUGGUGGCUGCAAUCACAAUAACUAGAGGGAGGACGGCACUGACAGCAGAGUAAGGGGCGAGAUCAGUGAAGGACAAGAUGCCGGUUACAAGGAAGAAAAAGUUGGCAACCCUCCUAAACUGCUCAAACAAGGAUUUAGGCAAGAAACUUGCUAGCGUAUACUUUGUAGUCCUAACAUAAUUGUUUGCAUAGUUACGUAUUUUGGCCUCAAAAUGAUCUGGUUCGUUGCAGAAAACUACCCUGGAAAAACCGGGUUGCCCAAUCUGCUCAUGAUCACCCUUCAAAGAUGUUUUCCCACAUGCGUAUGUGUAGAUCUUGCUCAAAUGCAGCUUCGCCCUCCGGCCGCCAGCCAUUGUCUCUUCCUCCUAUGAGAACAACUCCAACCCACCCCCAAUAACGCAACACACAGACACCACUGGAAACAACUCAAAUUUGCUCCUGUAAGAGCAAAUUAUGACUGAUGAAUGCGGCUUAUUCAAGAUAAACCACACACGAUAAAUACCCAGAAGCACAACUCCUCAAAAACGAAAAAUUUUCAACACCCAGAAAUGAAAAUGACAAACCCACUAAUUUUUCUAAGAGGACAACCUGGGAAAAUGUUCAAAACCCAAUCCAACUUGAAGAAAAUGAACUCAGAAGAGAAGGGUACAGGGAAUACAAAAUCAGGAAAAGGAACCGAGAUUAACACAACCUUAAAAAGGAAAGGAACACAGAUUCAGACAAAAGAGAUACCACUCCUCAACAACCCAACAAAAUCCAGCUAGAAAUCCGAAAAGAAAAAAAAAGGUUCCAGAAACAAUACUUUGAGACACGUCCCACAACAAAAGCUGCCCAGAAAGAAAGACCUCUCAAUCAACUAUGUAGAACCAGAUAAUUUUCGAAUUAAGGCUCGUGAGGGACAUAAAAUAGCAGCCAGAGAUCACGUUUAGAAAUAUUCGCGUAUUUGAUUUUUCCUUUGGCCCUGGAAGCUUUGAACGUAGACUUGGAUCUAUAAUUUUGACUUCGAGAAAUUUUGGUAAUUAUAGACGCGGCAUUAAGAAAUUUUCAAACUCGCAAAAAAAUAAAAAUGAAAUAAAAAAAUGCAAACGAUUGAAGAUUUCAACCCAAAAAAAAAAAAGGGAAAAUUCAACGAAAGAAAGCUCUGCCCGGGUGCUGAAGAUAAAACUCGCUGGAAAAAGCUCAACAAUUCAACAAUGGCAUUCGCUAUAUACCAUGGCUUUGUUGGCGUUGGAAGUUUCACUGAAAGACCAGACAAAAUCUUUGUGUUCCUUUUCGAUGUAAUUUACAUAUACACACAGCUAAUUAAUAAAAAUUAAAAAAAUAAAUAAAUAAAUAAAUAUAUAUAUAUAUAUCAGGGAAUUAAUUAUUCCCAGGACAAAAAGGGGAAAAAAUCCAAAACAAAAUUUCAAAAAAAUUACAGAUAUAACCCCUAAAAAUGGGCUUUGUGUCUUGAAAUGAAGAUCAAAAGACGCGCCGCCAUGGCGGGGGAAAGAUGCAACGUGUUCUUUUGGGUCAAACACCGCCAAAAAAAAAUAAAAAAACUAAAUAAAAAAUAAUCACCCAAUUACCACAACUCACGUAAUCUAUCACAUGCAUUUUCUUAUUUCUUUAAUAAAAAUCAUAUUUUUUUAAUUAUAAUAUUAAUGGAGAAAAAAUUAUUAGAAUAAUUUAAGUAAACGUUUCUCUUUCAGUCGUUUGAAGCUGCGUUGGGUGGUGGGCGUUUUUUCCAAAUCGUGUUUAAGUCAUGCUCGUAGACUCUUCCAAAAUAAAUCAUUUUAAUUAUAAUAAAAUAUUAAUAUAAAAAUAAAGCUUGAUUGACAAUUAAGGAAAAAUAAUAAUAUUAUACUCUUAUUUUUCACGUCUAUUUAAUUAAUUACAUUUAUAAUUAUUUUUUAUUUUAAGAAAAGUACGAGAAGAAACAAACAAAAAUACGACGUGGAAUUAUUUUUCGGAUUUAUUUAGGUAAUUACAUUAAUUAAUAUUUCUUAUUUUAAAAAAUGUACGGAACUCACAGCCAUUUAUGGGGGUUGCCCUAAUUUAAUGAACUUCUAGAACUUUAUAAGACCAUUUUUAAUUAUUAAUUAAAUCGAUCAAAAAUUCCAACCAAAUUAAUUUUAAAAUAAAAUUCAACCAAUGGUUGGUGUGGCAGACUUUAUUGAAAUUCCAAAUUGCCUUAGAUUAGUGAAUAUUCCAUCAUCAUGUUCAUAAUCCAAUUUGCCUUGCUGUGACGUUGAUACAAAAUAUUCCAUCAUUUGGCCCCAUACACACAUUGGAGUAGCCAUUUUUCAUACUCGUAUCAUUUUUUUCCCCCCUUGUGAACAUACUUUUUUAAAUUCAACUAAUAAAACGUUUGAAAAAUAUUUGAGCUCCUUCUAGAAUCAUUUUUAAAAUUUAUUUUUAGAAACAAAAUUUGUUUAGGGACUAGAAUAUAAAAAGCAAUUUUCGCAACUUAAUACUUUCUAUUUAUAUACCAUGUUAAAAAUUUUGAAAUAUUUUUUAUAUUUUAGUUAUUUUAUGAGAAUACGAAAAACUUUAAAACACACCUGUUUGAUAACUAUUUUUAAAAAUAAUUAUAAAAAAUAGUUUUUACUAUGCUUUUUGUAUAACAAAAGUCAAAUAUAAAUAUUUUUAAUAUUUAAAAUAUGUUUUAAAAAUAAUUUUUAUAUGUAAUAAUUUUAUUUUAAUCAUUUUACAUAUUUAAUUAAUUAUUUCUUAAAACAUUCCUAAGAAACAAAAUAAACACAACAAAAAAAUAUGUUUUUGAAAAUAUCUUAUUUUCUUUUUUUAAGAACAAAAAAUAGAAAAUAGAUUUUUUUUUCUUCUGCAAAACGUGUUUCCUGUGUUUUUUAUUAUGAAAAAUAUAAAACCAUUUUAAAAAAUAAUUCUCAAACAGACCUUUUAAAUUUGGUUUAAAAGAAAUUGUUUUUAGUCAAAAGUUUAUCAAAUUAAAAAAUUAGAUCAUGUUUGAGAGUAUUUUCAAAAAUAGAUUUUGAGAAAUAAUUUUUAUUUAUUUAUUAUGUCAAAGUUUUCAAAAAAAAAAAUUAACAUUAAUAUACAAAAAGAUAAUUGAAACUACCUCAAAUUUGUUCUAAAAAACAUGUUCUCAAAAUAAAUUCUAAAAAACAAAAUUGUUUAUAAUUUCUAAGUCAAAAAACUAAUUUAUGUUUGAAUUUUAAAAAAUAAUUUUUAAAUCGUAAUCUCAUUUUAUAAUUUAGAAAACACAAUAGUAUUUUUAAGAAUAAUUUUUAAAAUAAGGAAAAAUGUUACCGUACUCUAAUUUUCCUUUGCGAUAACUUCUUUGGCUCAACCUCUUUAUUUUAUUGUGAUGGAGAAGUUUCAUGAGAGAAAGGAGUAUCAUCCAAAGGGAUGAAAAGGUAGUAUGAAUUCAAACAUUUGGGUAAAUGACGAAAGCCCAAGACUAUAUGCCACCCAAUGGAUCUCACUUUCAUACAUCCAAAUAUUCUUUCUAGAAAGCACACGUCAAAGUUCACAAGUUGUUGCAAAACUUGAAAUUAGUUUCCCUCCCAUGGUUCCUUCGCACUUUCUCUUCAUUAAACUUCUUUAAACUAUCAUAUUAAAAAUUUUGGUCAAUUCUGAUCUCACUCCGCUUUCUUUUCAUUGACAUUUUAUAUGAGGAUUAGUUCAGACUACGGGGUUAAAUCAUAUCAUAUGAUAAUCAAUUGAUAUCGGAUAAAGAUAGAAUAAAUCUUUUAUAAUAUUUAAUAUCACAUAAUUGGUAUUUAAAAUCUUAUAAAAAUAAUAAAUUUUUAUUUUUAAUUUUUUCAUUUUAAUAUCAUUAAUGUCUAGCAUGCGGCUUCAAUAAUAUACCAUUUAUGUUUCCUUUUCAACCAAAUUUUUUUUCAUAUUUUUCUUCUUUAUUUUAUUUUUUAAAUUUUCUAAUAAUCAAACAUGACUUUUCUUUUUCUUUUUUUGUUAUAUUCCUUAUAGAAGAUUCCAUUUUUUCUUAUAAUAAUAUUUUAAAGAAUUAAAUUGGUCAAAAGAAAAAAAAUAAUCUUUAUAUUUGUAAAUUUAAUCUCUUCCAUGUUUUUCUUGAUAAGUAACUUAUUGUUUAUGUAAAUGUUCUUAAUUAUUUUAAAUAUUUACAUAUUACAUUUAAAAUAAAUAGUUAUUUUUACAAAUAAUAAUAAUAAUAGCAUUUUUAUCAAAAUGUAACCAAAAAAAAAUGAUUAGAUUUUUAAAAUUGAGUUUUCAAUAACCCUUUUAAUCAAAUGACCCUAUUUUAAAUCAUGCUUAAUACAUCUUUUCAAAUUCAUAAACAUGGGAUAAACCCCCUCCAUACUUUUCAAAGUUUUUAAAAGAACAUGAAAAGGACUUCAAAUUUUUCUUAAUGUCAAGGGAGUAGAAUUUUAUUUAAUUAAUUUUAAAAUAUAUAUAUAGAAAAAACUAAUUUUAUUUUAAGAGAAAAAUAGCAACCAUGUCAAGGGAAAUGAAGAUUGAAAUGGUUAAGGUGACCCAUCAUUUUCAAAAUGCUAAGAAUAUUGAAAUGGUCCGUUGUCCAUUUGGGACCCAACCAUCUUUGACUAAUCCCCAAUGACCCCAAUUUGUAGGUGGAAGACCAGGUAAAAGUUCUCAAAUGCUUGGCUUUGCCUCCGCCUUGCGUCCAUGAAACAGUCGCGUCCAAGUAGGGUUGGAACUUGGAGACCCACACGGUUGGUUCACAUUAUCCAUCAAUUCAAGCCUAAACCGAAUUCCAAUCCGAGGUAUUUAAUCUAUAUUUUAUUUCUCUAAAUUCGAAUUGAAUUCUUAUUAAUUGACUUAAUUAGAUUAAAUUCAAGUUAAUCAGGUUUUAUGAUUUAAAAUUUAUUUAUAAAAUUUUAUAAAACCUUUUUUUUUUCUCUAUAUUGAUGCUAAAUUUUAAAGGAUUAAUUCGAUAACAUUUCAAAAUAAUAGCAAAAAAGAAAAAAAGAAAAAAAAGAGUGGGCUAUGACUCACUAAUUUGAGAAAAAAAACAUGAAUAAGUUUUAUAUCCGUCUAUUUAAAAAUAUUUUAAAAUAAAUGUAUUUUUUCAUAAAUUAAAUAAUUAUUUUUUUAAAUCAUCUUUUUACUUGUUAUGUAAAUAAUAAUAAUUUAAUAAGUAGAUACAUAAAUGCUUAACAAUAUCUCCCUUUCAAUUUUAGUUUUUUAGUAACCAUGAAACCUGAUUUAGGAUUUUUUUUUCUUCGUAAACAAACAUUAUUAGGAAUGUUGAAUAACAAUAAAGUAAGAAAAUUUUAAAAUUUAAAAUACAAUUAAAACUAAAAAAGAAUUAAAAAUAAAACAUUGACUCCUAUUGUUUUUUUUUUAAAUGGUGUAAUUUACCAGUGAAGUGAAAGUUAAUAUUUUAUUUUUACAUUUUUAACUUUUAUAUUUUCUUUUAAAAAAAUUCUUAUUUCAUUAUUGAUGUCAACCAAUAAAAUUUUUAUUAAAAAAAGAUAAGAAGAUGAAGAGGUUUAUGUAAUAUAAAAUAAUAGAAUCAUGAAAGAUUUUAUUUAUCACGAUCUUAUAUAAUUUUUUCACAAUGAUUUAUAUAUCAUAUUAUAAAAUAAAUAGUUAUAAUAUAUUUAUUUGUACUUAAAAUGAAAAUAUUUUUAAAUUGAUAAAGAUGAAAUUGAUUUAUAAAAUUUAAAAUUCUUUUUUUCUGUAUAUUUUAAAAUUAGUAUGAUAAAACUCACUUUUUCAAAAAAGUAAAAAUUAAAUUUAUAAAAAAAAAUUAAAAUAAACAAAUAUAUAGGGAGUAACAUAUAUUAUAAAUAUUAUAAAAACAUUAUUUUAGGUUAUGUUAGAAUUGGAUCAUCCAAAUCUUAAUUUUAACCUAAUUCAAAUGGAGUCCGAGACUAAAAAUCCUUAAUAUAAGCUAAAUCUAAGAAUUAAAAAUGAUUGUCUAAAUUUACCCUAAUAUUAUAUUGGGUUCGGAUGGUCUAAAAAUUUUAAUGUAAGCUCAACCUAAGAAUUAAAAAUGAUUAUCUAAAUUUACCCUAAUAUUGGAUUGGGUUUGGUUCGAUGAUCUAAAAAAUUUAAUGUAAGUUCAAUCUAAGAAUUAAAAAUGAUUAUCAAAACUUAUCAUAAUUUCGGAUUGGUUUGUUACAAUCCAACCAAUCCACCCAAAUUGUAGCCGGCGUUCAAGGCCAUUUGUUAAGCUUGUGUAGAAGGGCAUGGUGAAAGUGCCAAAGCUUAAAAGUUGAAAGGCUAAGAGACAAAAGCACAAUGAUGUUGUGGUCAUCCCCCCAAUAGGACCAACGCCCACAACAUUUCUGAGACUCACGGCUCACCUAUGUUUGUUUACACCAUAGGACAAAUUCCGUACACUUUUUAAAUAGUUUUUGGUCUGCAUGACCCUAGCUUGAUGGUUUGGUACGAUUAUUUUGAAUGUUGGGCCACCUAAUUUUUGGGUUUUGAUUGAAGCUAGGGAAGGGGAUUAGAAGUUAUGUUUGACCCACUAAUGGCUAUUUUUUUAUUCUCUUAUCUUCUUACUUCCUAAUCAAACAUUUGACUUUAACCAAAUGUUUAGUUUAAGCUUAGAUUUCUUUUUUAUGGUUUUCAUGAACUAAUUUAAUAAAAUCAAUUAGAGUCUAUUUGAUUGAUAUUAUUGAAUCUUGUUUGGAAGAAUUUUUAAAAUUUUAAAUGCAGCUUUAGAUAUCAAACACAUUGGUUGAAUAGAAUUUUCAGACUUGAGUGUCACGCUCUACUUUUUCUCUUAUCAUAAAUAGAAAUUAAAUAUUAUUUCAAAUAUACCUUAAUUAAAUUAGUAUCAUAUCUUUUGUCACGAUGCCAUUUAAAUUAAAUCAAUACAUUUUUGUCUCAUUUGCAUCUUCCUUUUUUAUCCAUGCUUAUCUUUCAUCCACAUGAUAUGUUAUAUUAAUACAUACUAUUUAUAUUAUAUGGUAUUAGUUAAGUGUUCAUCUUAUCCAUUGGGUUUCUUAAUUUUAGUUUCUAUGCUUCUAGAAAGUAAAAUGAAUUAAGUUGCUUAGGGUUUAUUUGAGAAUUAUUUUUUAUAAUAGUUUUUUAUCUUUCAAAACAAAAAAUAUAGAAACAUAUUUAACAAUUAAAAACUGUUUUUAUUUUUUGUUCUUAAAAAUAAAAAAUAAGGUAUUUUCAUAUAACAUUUUUAAUUAUUUCAUAUUAUUUUAUUUAUUUUUUUAGCAUUAUUUUAAGAAAUAAUUAUACAAAUAUGUAAAAUGAUUAAAAAUAAAGCGCUACAUAAAAUUAUUUUUAAAAUAUAUUUAAAGAUAUUAAAAACAUUUUAAGUUUUUAAAUAAACUCAUGUUCUACAAAAAUCAAAGAAUUGUUUUAAAAAACUAUUCUAAAAAAUUUAAAACUAUUUUUCAAAAUUAUUUUUGAAAAUAAUUAUCAAACAUGCCCUUAUUUUCCUUUGACGUUUGCAUAUCUUCUAUAUAGAUAAUAGGAAAAUAUUAUUAAUUAAUUUUGUAUCUGGUUUCAUAAAAAUAUUAAGAAAAAAAAAGAAUAAGAAGAAGAAUUUUCUCAUGCUUCAUUUACCACUAAAAAUAGAAAAAAAAAUUAAUCCAUGGUUAUUGUUCUCUUCUUAAUUUCCAUUUCUAUGAAUUCAUAGCAUCAUUAAAUGAAUUGAAUUAACUUUUAUUUUUGAAUUUUAUACUUUCCUUAUAUAUUCCAUGAUUUAAAUUGUAAUUUUUAAUUUAUGGGAUUGUAAAAACUUAUUUAUGCAAUUUCUAAAAUUUUUGUACUUCAAUCUUUAUGUUAAACUCACGGUUGAGUUAUUUCAUAAAGCUAACACAUGGCAUUAAAACUAAGUUAUAAGUUGCUAUCAUAAGUCACAUAAUCUUGAGGAUAUUCGUUAGAAAUGGAAAUAUUUUGGCAAAUCAAAUUGCAGGGCCACUCUUAUGAAAGGCAAUCCAGUGACAAAAGACAGGUUGAGUGACAUCAAUGCUAACCAUUUUUGGGCCAUCUAAUUGGAAUUGUCAACAUUGGAGACUUGAAUUCACUGCCCCAACAACCCCCACUAAAUUAAACUGGUUUUCAAGGAGAAGUAUGGCCUUGUACAAAAUCCAACUAUGAUGGGGUUGGUUUGAUGAAUAAGGGAUUAGGAUGAUACAAAAAACAAACCCUAAUGGAGUUGUUCUGAUGACAAUUAGAAAAAUUUGUAUUAAGUGAAAAAAAAAAAUCAUAGAGGACAGGGUCCAGAGAUCUUCCCCACAUAAGGACACCUGGAUUCUGGAUGACCUUUAUUUGAACAGUUACUCCCACUUGAAAAAUGUCCUUUUCACAAUCAUCACACCUGCUGAUUUGUUUGCAUGUUUUGCAUAGGUUUGGUUCAAUCCCCAUAUUGGUUCUAAUAUUUGAUUAUUCUAAUUUUCAAUGCCAAUGAUACAACAACUCAAACACCCAUCUGGGUUUCAAUGUAAAUUUACAUAUUCUUUCCCACUUAGUUCAUGGAAUUAGUGACAUAUAUACUAGAUUAAGAUCAAUGAGGUUCAAUUAGCUAGUCCAACCCACAACAAAAUUGAGUCAGUAUUUCCUUUUGGGGGAUGGCCCUAAUAUGAAUUUUUGGAACUUUUCAUCUUUCUCAUAAAAAAAAUAGUAAAGGUUUUGUUGAUGAUUUGGUAGAAAUUGACUUCCCUUAUAAUAAAUAACCGCACAUCAUAUCAAAUGAUGUUGGGGCUUGUGGACAGGAGUGUGUGUGGCCUACUUGUACACCCACCAAAGGGAAAAAACAAAUGAUGUCCAAGAAAUCUCUAUUAGAACAAGCGUAACGGCAUGAAUGGUGGAUCUAUGGCACGUUACAUCAUCUUCUCCAUCACCAAGUACUAUAUGGUUUGUGAUAUUAUUAAUCAAGAGAAAGUUGACAGAAUAACAAAAACUAUUUAAAAAAGAAAAAGGAAAAAGAAAUGGGAGUUAUAUUUGGCUUUAUAUACACAUCAAAACCUUGGAUAGUUUUGAAGGCCAACAUAUGGAGGAAGAUAAGAAAAGAGAUGCUUUCAGUGUAUAACUGGAAAGAGACAUGGGUUGUCCCUUCUGUGAGGCUCUUUCCAGAAAGGAACUAGUAGAAAAAAAUCGAAAAAAAUCAAAAAAGAGAAGAUUACAAUAUGGGAUGGGAAUGUUACAUGUGUAUACGUAUGAUUUAGUGAUGGCCCCAUGAAGAUGACAGGCCUUGGCAGCAAGCACUAGUGGAGAUUGAUUUUACCAAUAGUGAAUAGAAAUAUUUGGCCAUCAUGAGGGGACGAACCCAAGAGUCUAGACUUGAGAAGAAAGAGCCAAUGAAUUAAUGAUCAAUGUUCAUAGACUUUAGACCUUAUCAUCAGUGUGUGAUGAAGUCCGUUAAACAUGUUUUUUGGGGUAGACACAUUGUAGUACGUCUUGCAGUGGUAGGGACUUGAUCUGAUGACUUGUUUCUCUCAUGACUUCUUGUCAAUGGUCUUAUCUCAUUAAGGUUUGGGGGUUUGGCCAAAGAUGACUACUACUUAACUUUUUGCCUCCUUGGUGUUCAUUGAGCUUCUCCACCCCAUGUUUAGGGUCAUCCGUUGAUUUAUAUAGCAUGGUCAAGUAGACUAAUCUCGUGAUUGCCUUGCACGAUGGGUCUCAUGUUCUGGGCUAGGUUUGGCUUGUCCUUACCUUAGGAAGUCCAGCCUCUCUUCCACGAAUAUUCUCUCAUGGAGCUUGUUUGGUGGGACAAGGAGAUGGGAUCGGGUUUAAAUUUCUAUCCCACCUUUGGAUAUGGGAAGUGAAGAUGCGAAAUUUUUUUUACUUCUAAUGGAAACCGAAAUUUUUUCUUGGAUUAUAGCCAAUUUUUGCGCAUUGUGUGGCAUGAGGGGCAAAGUUCGGAAAGAGGUUGAGGGGGAAGUAGCCUAUUGGUUAGAAAAAUUUAGAAUCAUCCGAUCAAAUCCUACUACCAUUAAUAGUUUUUUCAAAAUUUCAGGAGAGGUAUGUGCCCCUCCUAAACAGUAAACACUGCCUGGCUCCAUCAAUGUUUGGCAUAGUGGUAGUGUGCUUUUUACAGACUUUUUCUCAAUCCUAAGUCUGCAACUUUCAGCGUUCUAUUCUUUUUGGCCAAGCUGCUAAGUCGAUUGAGUUUAUUGGUGAUUACUUAGGAGUUAGGAAGAGGAACUUCUAAGCGCCGGAGGUGGAGCUUUCCUGAUUUUAUAUGUCUCCAAGAAGGGUGAGAAAAUGGUCAUAUGAAUAAGUUAAAUCCCUUAAACAAAUAAUCAUAUUGAAGCAAGCCAAACAUCAACCAUAGAUAUCAAAUCUUUAGAAAAUAGUAUCUUAUCUUAUUUUGUCCAGACCCUUUUGGAAUGCUCAAAAAUGAGAUAGAAGGCUUGGUUUUGAAGGUGGUGGAGCCUGUAGAGAGUAAAGGCAUGCAGCUGUAGAAAUACUGAAUCAUACUGAAUCAAUGUGUAUAGUCUGUACACAUUGAUCCCCACAAGCAGGCGUCAAAAAAAUGGAAUAGUUCAAGUUGACUUACUCACUGAGAAAAGAUAAAAGGUGGUGGAAAUACAACAGAGGUGAUAAUAAUUACAGUAGGGAUUAUAGUGAAUGAUGGAGUCAACAAAGUAAGACUACUUCAUUGCAUUUAUUAAUUACCUUUCAUGCUAUUUUUGACUUUCAUUAUACUCUUUGGGAUUCAAGACUCCACAAUUCUUGAACUUUUCACAUUCAAUUCAAAUGUUUAAAUUCAAUCAUUUAUUUGUCUAUCUUAAAUCAUUAAGAUAAGCAUAAAAGGCUACACCAAAAGCUAAUGAGCAUAAAAAGAAAAAACAAUCUCUUAUUCAAUUUUUAUUAUAAAAAAGACAAACAACAUUGGAAAUGAUAGAAAUACAGAUUUUACUUUUAGUUUUAGAGGGUGUUCAAAAAAAUUUAAAACUUAUUAUUUAAUAAUUUAAAUUGAUUUUAAGUUUAAUUAUUAUUAAGUUGUUGACUUAAAAUUUAUUAUUUAUUUUUUAUUUUAAGUAUUAAUAUUGUUUGAUAAAAUUAAUUUAAAUUUUAUUUUAAAUCAUCGAAUUAACAUAUUUAUCCUUAUUAAUUUUAACUAAUAUUUAUAUUUUCACUAAUCUUAAAUAAUAAAUUUAUUUGUUAAAUAUUCAUGUUUAAAGUAUUAUAUAAGCAUGAGAUAACUACAAAAAAUACUUACUAUAAAAAAUUAGUUGUGGAUGUGGUCAUAAUUGAAAAAUAUAUUUUCGUUAAACAUGGUAAAUGAGGUAAAAAGAGUUUAAAGAUUAAAAAUAAAUUAACUAUUUUAAUUUAAUACUUAAAAUUAUGUUUGACUUUUAAGUUACAAUAUUAAGUUAUUUUAUUGAAUAUAUUUAAUUUACUUAAUGACUUAAAUUAAAUAUUUAAAUUAUAUCAAGUUAUUAAAUCAAACAUUUAGUUAGAGUUUGGCCAAGCCUACCAUAGAAAAUAUACUCUAUAAGGGAUGACAUACAUGUAAUAUCUAGGCAUUAAAUUAAACCUUCUUUUAUUUUAUUGAUAAAUAUUAAUAUAUUUCUUAUAUUGUUGGAUUCGGAUUAGGCUUUGGGUAGAAGUUAAAUUAUAAUCUAAAUGGGUGUACUUGAUGAUGACUUAAUGCACAAAGACUUAAAAUGAUUAAAAGUUUGAUCAUAUUAAGAACCUAUUUAAUAAUAAUUUUAGGAAACACAUUUAAUAUUUUUAAUACUUGAAAAUUUUUAUUAUUUAAGUGUUAAAAAUGUUAAAAACGUUUUCUAAAAUUACUUUCAAACGUACUCUUAAAUUAUUAAGUUUUUAUCAAAGUGAUUUUAAACUUUAAUUAAGUGAUAAUAUUAAAUUAUUUUUUAAAAAAUAUUUUAUAUAUUUAAUGACUUUAAAUUAGGUCAUUAUAGUUAUAUUACGUGAUUAAGUUGAUUUACCAAAUAUUUCUUACGUAUGGUCGAGGAUGAGAAUGACUUGAGCCUUGACCAAGAUGGCUUGAGGUUGGCUUGACACGUUUACGUUCCUAGAAAGACAAAUUUGUUCGUUCGUAGCUUUGCCUUGCUUUCUAGUCGGGAUAUAAAUUUGACCAUUGACUCAAAACCUAACUGAAGUUUCCUCGAAGAUUUCAAACCAAAGCCUGGCCUAAUCUACAUCUAAGCCCAUCUUGAGCCCAACCUGAUCCCUCUAGGGCAAGGCUUGGGCUAAUUUUUGAAGCAUGAGCCUAGCCCAUGGGCUAGCUUGAGCCCGGUUGGAGGAUUAAAGCCCAAAAAUGUCCAUAAACAUUAAAAAUGGAAUGAAAAGAAAUCCAUAAUGAAAUGGGAUUUAGACUCUUGUAAAAACUGGAAAAUUUGAGAUACCAAGUUACCAACUAUCGAGUCAAAAUUUUUAUUAUUUUUAUUUAUAAACAUCAGAACUGGCUUCGGGCUGGGCUGCUCAAACCCGGCCGGAUGGCCUGUCUGGGCCUAGCUAAGGACAGCUUGAUCAAGGCCCGAACCCCAACCAAGAGGGCUCGAGCCCAGCUUGUCUACACGCCUAUGCUCUAUCCCGAUAUAGAAAAAUUGAAAGCCCAUCCCAUAUAACAUGAAUAAUAGUAUAAUACCCAAAAAUGCUGGAAUUUCAAAACUCAACCGAGUCAACUCAGAUGUGCCAAGCCAACGAGUCAACACAGCCAAUGCAUGACUCGUUCUUUUUUUAUUGCUGACUCAGUGUCCUUUGUUUUUAUCGGUCUGAAUCAGUAUAUAGCCAAAUUUCUCAAUCUCAUAGUUUUUGAAUUUGAUCUUCACACAUCCACAUGGAUUCACUCAGAGUCUCAGCUGCAGUAAGACUGCAAGACCCAUUUCUGAUGUGAAGGUAAAACCCUAAUUUCUUUCUCAACUACACACACAAGCUAUGCACAGCACAUACUUAGGCUCAACUAUAACUCUUAGGAGUAAAGGGUCUCUCUUUUUUUCCUUCGAUGAUCAUUCUUACUUGUUCAAUGAAAGAUUUGAUAGAACCCCAUUAACAUCAUCAUCAUCAUGUUGUGCUUGCUGUGGUGCUAAUUUUAUCCACGGGGUGCCCAUAAACCCUGGUUUCUUGUAUGGGUUAAGGCAGUCCACUUUAAUUCAAUGGGCUCCUUCUAGGAGGUUGAUAUUGGGUGCUGGGGACAGGUAUUAUUGCCGGCUUCCAGAUCGAGGUUGUUAUGAGGUGUGUUGCACUCUCAAGGAAAGGAGUGGCAAUGGGGGAGGUGGGAGGAGGAGAAGGGGGAAAAUUGAGUGUAUGGUUUCGGAGGGGAAGAGUGGAAGAUGUCAUUUGGGUGGUGAGGCUGAUGCCGAGGCAGUGCUCAACUUGUUGAGUGAGGAAGUGAGUGAGAGAUGUUAUGGUGCUAGAGAGACACAUGGGAGUUCGUAUGAAAGAGUGCGAGCGGAGAAGAGAGGCGAUUUGGGUAAUGAAUGUUACAGGAGAAAGAAGAAAAAUGUUGGGUUGGGUUCUUUGGAGUGCAGUUCAAAGCGUGAAUCUCAGUCAAUUAUAGUUGGGUCAAGGGAAGAGGGUCAUAGAAGGAGAGAGGAAAAGGAAGCUUCUGUGAGAAUUGAAAAUCGGGGGCUACGGAAAGAAGGUUCUAGUUGUUCAUCUUAUUACUCACUUUCAUCUUUGGGUGACUCUGAGAGCAACACGGGCGAUAUUGAAGGCAACCAAGAAGCUCCGGUUAAGCAUAGGGGAAUUGUGAGAGAAUCAUCAAGUGGGUAUAAGAAGGAUUCAUGGAAGACUGAAGAGGGUAAUGUUGACAGUGAAGUGGUGGAGAAGUUUGAGAAGCAAAGAGAUGAGGCAGAAGGAUAUGGGGAAGUUGCCAAAUGGGGAAAUACUUCAGUGGGGUCUUAUGUGGUGGGGAGUGGUGUUGAGUGGGAGAGGAGAAAGAAGUCCGAGAAGAAGCUUGCUGAAGUAUCAAUCGAGCGAACUGAAUCUAUGGAGGAAACCUCAGAAAUGGAUUCAAAAGUAUCACAGAUCCAUGAAAGCGGUUUUGGAAAGUCUUCUGGCUACCGCAAGCAAUUCCAUGGCAGGGGAGAGAAGUUGACUGUGGCAGGGAAUUUAGACGAGGAAACAAGAAAGCAAUAUGGUCAGAAAGGUAAACUUGUCAUUGGACAGUCAGAGUCUGGAAGAAAAUACCAAAGGCUAACUGAAUCGUCAGAAGUCCAGGGUAGUGAUGUUGAAAGAACUUCUGGAUCUCAGAAGCAAUUCAGUGGCAGUGAAGAAAAUGUAACCACUGCUAAGAAUUUGGUCCAGGGAAGAGGAGAAGAACAUGGUAAAAAAGAUGCCCAUAUCACUGUCCAAGACAAAUUAAAAAGAAACUCUCAGCAGUUCAGUGAAACAUCGAGGACUCAAGAGGUAGAUGUCAGAAAUACCUCCACUUCUCUGAGGCAGUCAGGAACCACAAUGAAGAACUGGAAUGAAAAUUCAACUUCAUUCCUGGGCUCGGUUCAGGAGACAAAAGGGCAACAGCACCAAACAGGCGAAUGGAUCACUGGAGGAAUUAACUCUAGAAGAAAUUUUCAACAAUUCACCGAGAUCUCAGAUAUUCAUGAUAGUGAUAUCCGUAACAAUAGCAUUUCACAGACACAAUAUGAAACUAGAAUGAACAAGCAGGAAGGAAAUUGGAACUUGGUUUCCAGUUCACAUCCAGAAGCAAAAGAGCAGCACUUGCAAACAGAUAAAACAACUAUUAGGAGAAAUGAGUCCAGAAAAGGAUACCAAGAUGCCACAAGCAUGUCAGUGGUUCAUGCUAGUACUACUGAAACAGGUGCCAACCCUCAAAGGACUUCUGAAAAGAGAGUGAGCAAUCAAGAAGUUAAUUUGACGUCAGUUGUGAAAUCAGUUGAGGAAACGAGAGAAAGAUAUUAUCAAGCUGAUGAAAGAUUGGUGCAAACUAGAUCAAGAGAAGAGGUUGAAAAGCCUUCUAAACAAUUGCAUUUUAUUGAGUCUGCACCAGGGGAUUCCUCCAGUUCCCAAGCAUCUCUGAAUUUGGUAGCCCAGGCUAGAGUGCAACAAAUUGCUGCAGAGGAAAGAGAUAAGACAAGUUCACAGGCAACAUUGAAGCCUCCACCAUUUCAGUCGGUAGAAAGAGGUCCACUGCAUGUGGAACUGACUUCUGGCUUUGCAGCUCAAGAGGUUUCUGGUGAAACUCCAGAAAGUGGCUUUAGUGCCUCAUCUACACUCCCUCCAACGAGAAGUCCAACUUGGCAGCGGGAACCACAUGGUGAAGCUAGAAGAGGUGAAACUUAUGGGGAGCCUCUGAAUGUUGCCCCUGGAGAUGUAUUGGCUUCAGCUGAUCGUUUAGAGAAAUCCUCCAUGCACUUUGUGGGAGAGUUUGUUGAGAAGGUAAGGCAUGAUGUGUUCACAUCUGAAAUCCAAAAAGAGAGAGUUUCUGAAGCAAAUUUGCUGUACAAAGGUGAGGUCCCUGAGAAACAUAAGCAAAAGGGUUCGAGUCAUUAUGGUUCUGAAAACUUGCAGUUGAAGGAGCAUGACUCAAGGCGUUCAUCUGGGGCUUCUGGAACAAAGGGGCCUUCUGACGAAAUGUGGGAUGUAGCAAAUCCUUCUCUUCAGGAACCUCCCAAGACAGAAGCAGAAGAGGGCACUACAACAACUGGGACUGCCAUCGUAAGGAGAACUGGAAGGUCCUUUUGGAGUGUCAUUGCAGACAUAGUCCGAAUGCGGUGGGUCUCACAUUCUGAAACCCAUAAUUCAGCCAUGAAGUCGGGUGGAAGGAGUUCAUCAAAUGAGUCUGCUGGCAGUGAUGCAUGGUUUUCUGGUCGUGAGCCAGAUGAGCACAAUGACGAGAAUGCAAAAAGGGAAAAAAGAAGCGUGCAACAAGAAUCCAUAUCUAAUGAUCAGCCUCAACUGGGAAAAACUCCCACUCUAAAUCAAGGAGAAGGGUCUCAAGCAACAAGCACAAAGGACCAAAAAAAGCAUGCUGAACUGGACAUGCCAUCUUCUAGUAUUUUAGAAAGUGGCUUAGUGCUCAAAAGCAAUUCCUCUGCAUCUGGGAAGGAAAGUCUUGGUUGGUAUGAAAAUGCAGAGAGUUUUCAAGGUUCCCCUUCAAGCUCUGCAGUAGUGGAAUCAGCGUUACCAACACCCGGUAGGGACAUAAGAAGAUCUCCCACUGUGGAAGAAAUCUCAAGUAGUACUAAACCUGUUGGAUCUGGAAGUGGCUCAAUGGAGGGGAUGGAUCAAAAAGCUGAUGUACCAUUGACUGAAAUGUCAGGGACUGAGGGGAAAGAUGGGGAGUUGAAAAGGAGAAAACUUCAAAGGAACAAGCAGGUAUUGAAAGAUCAAUUUGAUGAAUGGGAAGAGGCAUAUGUACUUGAGAAUGAGCAGCGUAAGAUUGAUGAAAUGUUCAUGAGGGAAGCAUUGUUGGAAGCCAAAAAGGCUGCCAAUGCUUGGGAGGUGCCUGUUGGGGCUGUGCUGGUACAGCAUGGCAAAAUUAUCGCCCGUGGAUGUAACCGGUAAGUUUUACCAGUUCAGACUUCUAUUAUCUUAUUUGGAUACUUGCUUGGAGUGAUUUAUACCAUGUAUAUUUCAGAGUGGAAGAGUUAAGGGACUCAACUGCCCAUGCAGAAAUGAUUUGUAUACGGGAGGCUUCAAACCUACUCCGGACAUGGAGGCUUUCGGUAGUAUCACCAUGUUCUUGGAUUCUUUUGUGUUCAAUUCAGUUCGAUAUUUUUACUUGAUGACCUUUUGAUUAUUUUAAAGUGCCAUUAGUUGUGUGUAAUUUGGUCCCUAUUCCCUAUAUGUCUGAAGAUGAUUCUUAAAGUUUGCACCAGUACUGCUAUUAUUUUAUUAUUAUUAUUAUUAUUAUUGAUAGGCACCAGUAGUGCUAUUAUAUAUUCAUCUUUUAGGCAAGUAGAUUGCUAACGAGUACCAAAUAACUGAUCUCUAUAUAAGGUUUCUGAACCCCAAAUGGAACUGAACUCAGCACUCAGUAUUGGUAGCUAUAGCUCCUUGAAAACUUAAAAGCAGGAUAUUUAACUGCUUGGUUGGACAAGGUAGAGAUGGGAGGUAGUGCUGAUUUAGAAGCAAUACAGACAAAUGGUUAGGUUGACUAGUGAAUGUCCAGGAAAUAUUUUUAUCAUACUUGCAUUUAAAAUCCUUGGAACUAUAAAUUAUUAUUUGGAGAAAAAAAGGAAAAAUCAUUUAUUGGAAAGAAGAUCUAUAAUAUUAUUAUUUUAGGCAACAAUACCCAUAAAAGAAAAAAAAAAAAUAUUUUAGGCAACAAAGUUUGAUGCAUGAAAAUUGAUCUGUAGGUAAGUAGUGGCUUUAGCCAAAUACAUCCUCCAAGUAAUUAAAGUAUUAAACCAGCAGGCAGUCAAUACCUAUCCAUUUUUGAAACACAUUAGUUAAUACUGAAGUUGUUUUUCACUUGUACAGGACCUGGAUUUGAAAGUAGAAAUGGUUUAAAAAGCUGGGUCCUUGAAUUUGAAAAUACUGGUGGAUCAGUCUGGGAUUUUGCAAGUCCCUAUUGUUGGUUUAAAUUCAAUUUUUGUUUCAUAGUUAGUUUCUGACUCCCUGCUGAAAGAUGGAACAUGCAAACAAGCCUAUAUGAACAUAAGUUGUAUAUCUGUUAUAAAAAACAUAAUUUGUAUAAGAAACUUAUGAAAUAAAGUUCUCAAUGAUCAUAAAUAAAAGUAGUUGGACCGUAUAUUUCCUAGUUACUGGUGAUCAUUAUCAGCUAUUGCACUGCAGUUAUCACUAUAAUGAUUAUUAUCAGCUAUUGCAGCACUUUUUUGGCAUAUAUUGCUGUAUUGAAACCUAUUGUUUCAAUAUCCACUAUAACUUGAACAAUGGUAGUUAUUUGAAACAUAGAGGAGACUAAUUAGAUUAAAUGCAUGCCUUUACUUCUUUUAGCAUAUUGAAGUUUUGAUGCUUUCCCAAAAAGUCAUUUAUGCUCCUUUCAACCUAAUAUUCCAUUUUUCUUACUGGGAAAAAAUACAAAAAAGAAAAACUUAGCAUUCCAUUUUUUUUCCUCCUUUCAGGAGACUACACUUUAUGUAACACUCGAACCAUGUCCUAUGUGUGCUGGAGCAAUACUACAAGCUAGAAUUGACACCCUUGUGUGGGGAGCUCCCAAUAAACUUCUUGGGGCUGAUGGCAGCUGGAUUAGGUGAGCAGUAUUUGUGCUUGUCAUUAUAUAGAUCAUUUUCAUUGCAUUUACCUGAAAAGUCACUUUAAACCUGGGCCUGUGAUUAUUAGUGGCACUAGAAGUUGGUCCUGUCUAUCUGGGAUUCAUGAAUAAGGACAGCUGGUAGUCUUCAGAUGUCUAUGUUUAAACUACUGCAAUAAAAAACCAGACUGGUAUUUGAGCCAGAAAGGCUUGUGAUCUGGUCUUUUUCAGUUGGAGCAUUGAUUUGAUUGGACAGACAGAAUUCUAAUUGAGUUUGUAAAAUCAUGGACAUGUAUCAGUGGCAAUAACUCAGUAAAAAGGCGCUUAUAUCCCAGGUUUAGGGUACACUUGCCAUGCAUUUUAAUUUUUUGGUAUGAUGAACUCUUUUAGGUAGCUUUCACGAUUAAUUUGCUUACCUGUCACAAAAAGAAAAAGAAAAAGAAAAAGAAAAAAAGUAAAAAUGAAAAAAAAUCAGGUAGGCCACUGUAAUUUCACAUUUUACCUGAUGAUGUGAUGCAUAUAUGACUUUCAAAAUUACAAUAUACCUAGUUUUUUUUUCAUACCUUUUCUUUCCUUAAGGUGGUUGACUAACGGGUUCUUUGUGAAACUGGCCAGUUCAAUUGGUUGAACUGAAAUUGAGUAAAUGCAAUCGUAAACUAAUCAAAACAGCAUUGAAUUGAAAAUACUGGUAGAAACAAGCUGAUUUCAAUUUAAUUCAUAGAGUGGAGUAUUCUUUUUCUUCUGAUCUUGUUAGUAACUGAAAUUUUGAAUAUGACACGACUCAUUGUGGGAAAAGAGAAGAAAUUCUCUGAGGUUGAUAAUCCCUUAAAUGCUGACAUGUAGCCCACAUUUUGCAGACUUUUUCCUAAUGGGGGUGAAGGUGGAAGUGGCUCAGAACUGACAGAUAAAACACAAGCUCCAGCCCACCCAUUCCACCCAAAGAUGACAAUUCGGCGUGGGGUAUUGGCAUCAGAAUGUUCAGAUGCAAUGCAGCAGUUCUUCCAACUCAGGAGAAAGCAGAAGGAGAAGAAACCAGAUAUGCCCGCCCCACCUUCAUGCUUGCCCAUUUCAAAUCAUCCUUCUAAGUUCAUGACUAAGAUGCAUGGCAUCUUCCACAUGUUCUGUUUAUAAGGAAUGGGACAUGGCCCAUCUGUUUCUUCAAGCUUGUAAAACCAUGUUGCUACAUGUAUCUAAUUUUUUGUAUCACUAUCUAUUUGUAUUUCACAGGUUCAGAAAAAGCUCUUAAGUGACAGUUUCGGCGAAUGCGAAAGAUUAGAGAUCGAUACUAUGGAAUAAUAGGAUGACAAAUUUUAGAAAGAAGUGUGAUUGCCUUGAAGGAAUUGUAAACAGAGAUCAUCUCUGUUUUGUGACUGAAGGUUACUGCAUUUAGUAUUUGAGAUAUACUGAAACUGUGCGAGUAUAAACCUAUUUUUUGAGACUGGGCAGAAAGAAUAACAUUAAAACUUAACCACAUUCAGCCACAAGAUUGAAGAUUGAUUGCAUCAAACCUAAAGCUAAAUUGGGUUUUGUGGUGGAAGGCCUUUUGUAAUCAGACAAGACAUUGAAAGUAUUGAAAGAAAAAGUAGCGGUAGGGGGUAGUAAAUUAGUAAUAAUGUAUAGGUGCUCUCUACCAACCAAGCUGAGGCGGCUACCUGAGUGAAAGUAAAGAAUUACCAGAAGAGAGGAGUAUGCAUCUGUUUUAGCCUUAAAUUUGAUUGGUACAGUGCACCAAUGAUUAGGUCCUAUGUUAUGAUAAACAUCCACAUCCAUCCAUUGGUGGGUGGAUUUUGUUAGCAUUACAUUUUGUAUCCCAUGCCUCUCAUUUCACUCCAUUUCUCAUCUACACCUCUUUUGCCAUAUGUAACAUGAGACACCCUUUUUUUUCUCUUUUUGUUUUCUUUAAUCAAUUAGAGAAGAAUUGGUUUAUAAUUGUGCAAUCCAGAUUACUGUUUAGAACAGGCUGUUCAUGGUUAUCAUUAUUUUGUGGGGUUGGGGGUGGGUGUUCAGAAGAACUUUAUUAACUUGGUUCAAUUGGGGCUCUGAGAUAUGGCUCCAAGUCCUCAAGACCUUGACCAUGAUAAUUGGGCCACCCAAAGUUCAAGCUGGAAAGUCCAUUUAGAAACAAUUUUGCUAAUGGAAACCUCACGCUGUCAUAUCAUUAGAAGAGAUGUACCAAUCACAUGAAGACUACAUCUCUCCAUCCAAUAUUCACCAAACGUUUUUUAUUUCUGAAAUUUUGUGCUUCCCAGAUCUGUAUAUAAGCACCAAUUCUUCACACCAAAACUCAACAAUUCCACAAAAUGGCUUCACUGAUGUGGGCCUGUGUCUCAUCUUGCCUCUUCAUUCUUGUAGCCAUUGCUAAUGCACAAGCACCUGCAGCCUCACCUUCUGUCUUGCCAACUCCCACGCCAGUUGCAGCCACACAGCCACCCUCAACUCCGGUCAUACCCGCACCUGCAACCACUCCUGUAGCAUCACCCUCUCCUAAAGUUUCGCCAGCUUCGAGCCCCACUGUCCCACCCCCUCAAGUUCCACCACCACCAAAUCCACCAGUCUCAGCUCCAGUGCAACCACCAGUGCUACCAUCGCCACCUGUUGCUUCACCUCCACCUCUGCCACCUUCCAUACCACCACCACAGGUAUCCCCAGCACCAGUCCAAGCACCACCACUGCCAGCACCAGCGCCCCCACCCCCAGUGCCCCCACCCCCCGUGCCAGCACCAGCGACCCCACCACCAGCGCCAGCACCAGCGCCUCCACCACCAGCGCCAGCACCAGUACCUGUACCUCCAACCCCAGCUCCAGCACCAGUACCAGUGCCCCCAGCCCCAGUCCCAGCACCAAUUAGCGAGCCACCGGCACCUGCACCAGCCCCUACCAAGCACAAGCACAGGAGAAGGAGACACAAGCACAAGAAGCAUCAUCAUCAUGCACCAGCACCUGCACCAGUUACCCCAAGCCCCCCCGCACCACCUACAGUCCCUGAGGCUGAGGAAACGGCACCAGCUCCAUCACCAAACUUGGUAAUGUGUUCAGUCAGCUAAAAUAAUUAAUUUCUCAACUUCCAGUUUAGUUUCUGAAUGAAGCAUAUGCUUUUGAAAAGACAGAGUAAUCAAAUAUCAUCCAUCUCAUUUGAUCAUAUCAAAAUGUUUUAAAUGACUUUUUCCUCUUUUUGGCAACAGA